UACGAAGGGGGCUAGCGUUGCUCGGAAUCACUGGGCGUAAAGCGCACGUAGGCGGCUUUUUAAGUCAGGGGUGAAAUCCUGGAGCUCAACUCCAGAACUGCCUUUGAUACUGAGAGGCUUGAGUUCGGGAGAGGUGAGUGGAACUGCGAGUGUAGAGGUGAAAUUCGUAGAUAUUCGCAAGAACACCAGUGGCGAAGGCGGCUCACUGGCCCAAUACUGACGCUGAGGCACGAAAGCGUGGGGAGCAAACAGG
rnacentral:rRNA from 1 species